GACGAACGCUGGCGGCGUGCUUAACACAUGCAAGUCGAACGGAAAGGCCCUGCUUUUGUGGGGUGCUCGAGUGGCGAACGGGUGAGUAACACGUGAGUAACCUGCCCUUGACUUUGGGAUAACUUCAGGAAACUGGGGCUAAUACCGGAUAGGAGCUCCUGCUGCAUGGUGGGGGUUGGAAAGUUUCGGCGGUUGGGGAUGGACUCGCGGCUUAUCCGCUUGUUGGUGGGGUAGUGGCUUACCAAGGCUUUGACGGGUAGCCGGCCUGAGAGGGUUACCGGCCUCCAGAGGACUGAGAGAGGGAGCAGUAGGGUACCGGAGGCAGCGGUGGAGAGUAUGGCGGAGUGGCGGGAAGUCUGAUGUAGAAACGCUGCGUGCGGGAUGCCGGGCUUUGGGUUGUAAACAGAUUUCGACUGAGAUGAAGAGUGAGUGACGGUAACGGGUAAAGAAGCAACGGCUAACUACGUG
rnacentral:rRNA from 1 species